rnacentral:rRNA from 1 species
UUACAUCAGCAGUCAUUUCCAUGAUAGAGUGUGGAUGGCAACCUCCUUCUGACCAGUUGCCCGCUUGGAUAUCCUCCAAAACCUGGUGGCUAAUACACGGUCGAAACGGUCUGCCGCAUCACGUUACUGCGAGAGCGGUCUGUCCGCUGGCGAAGUGCCGGUGGCGGACUGCGUCCGGCCGCUGUGAAGACCAGCACCCGGAUCACGGUAGCGCGUCGCGGUUGACUCAGGCCGGUCCCUCCUGGGACGGCUGCGCUGGCAGAGUGGUGGGCCUUGUGUCCACAGCAUUGCUUGAUCGUACAAACUUCUGCCCUAUCAGCUCGGACUGUGGUGUCGCGGACCCCAGUGGCGGUGACGGGUGACGGAGAAUCAGGGUUCGACUCCGGAGAGGGAGCCUGAGAGACGGCUACCACUACCAAGGUGGGCAGCAGGCACGCAAAUUGCCCCUUGCCAAGACGUCCCGGUGAGGCAGCGACGAACUGCAGCAAUCCCGCCCGUCCUCCUGUGACCAGCGGGACUUGCAAUGGAUGCUAUCCAAACACAGCCAUGAGCAGCAACUGGAGGGCAAGUCUGGUGCCAGCAGCCGCGGUAAUUCCAGCUCCAAGGGUGUAUACUAACAUUGCUGCUGUUAAAACACUUGUAGUCGGAUGCCGGGCGUGGGUCCGCCGGGUGGCCGGCGGGCGGGGGCCUCCGGGCCGCCGUCCGUCCGGAACCCAACCCCCGGCUGUAAGCCCCCACGCCCGAGUUCCCUAUGGUGGCCGUGUUCGCUCCCGCCCAAGUCCCCUUCAGUGGGGACCGAAGUGGCGUCACGCCCAAAGCCCGUGCGGUGGCGACCGGGACGCCCACGCGCUCCCCCGCCGCCCGCUCCCGGAGCCGGUCCACCGAUGCCACCGUGGAAAACCCAGUGUGCUCCAAGCAACCGUUCGGCUGGAUGUCCGUCCAUGGAAUGGCAAAGCAUCGACCUGCUAGUGGCCUCACUGUUGUUGCUCUUGGUCCUGGAGCCCUGUCAGGGCAAACGAGGCGCCGGCCCCCCGGGGGGCCGUCCCGGUGCCGCGUCCCGUGCCCCUCGGGGUGCGGGGCGCGCCCGGGCGACCCCUGGGGGAGGCGCCGUCCCGGCCGCGGAGGGGACCGCUCGGGGUGCAAGGCAUUGCCGCGCCAGAGGUGAAAUUCUUAGACCGCUGCAAGGCCAACGGCGGCAAAGGCGUUCUGCAAGUGCGUGUUCGUCGAUCAAGAAUGAGAGUGUGGGGAGCGAAGAUGAUCAGACACCGUCGUAGUCCACCACGGUAAACCAUGCCGGCUCGGCGCCGAGGGCACAUCAUCAUCCCAUGCCCCCGGCACCCGCCAUCCCCCUCCAACGAGAAAUCCAAGCCUUUGGGUUCAGGGGGGAGUACCGUCGCAAGGCUGAAACUUAAAGGAAUUGACGGAAUGGCACCACAAGGCGUGGAGUAUGCGGCUUAAUUUGACUCAACACGGGGAACGUUACCAGGUCCGGACGAUGCCGGGAUGGACAGACCGAGCGCUCUUUCCUGAUUCCUCGGACGGUGGUGCAUGGCCGCUCCUGAUUGGUGGAGUGAUUUGUCUGGUUGAUUCCGAUAACGAGUGAGACAUCCGCCUCCCACUAGCCUGGGCCUCGCAUCCGGUAGGGUCCGGCACGGCCGUGGGCGGGGGGUGCCGCGUCCCCCUCGGGGGGCGCGGUCCCCCGCUCACCCCGGUUCGCCGCCCGAGAGGCCGCCAGCCACGCUUCUCUGAGGCGCUGUGCACGCCCAAUCCAAGUGCAAGCACGCUAGAGCCAACAGCAGGUCUGUGAUGCUCCCAGAUGUCCUGGGCCGCACGCGCACUACACUGGACCGGUGAAUCAGCUGAGUAUAUCUGACUGUGUCUUGAGCGCGGCCGUGCCCCGCAGGGGGUGGGAACCCUUGGAAGCCCCGUCCGUGCCUGGGGAUAGAUGCUUGCAACUGUCUGCCUUGAACGAGGAAUGCCUAGUAGGCGCGGGUCAUCAGCCCGCACCGAUUGCGUCCCUGCC